UACGUAGGGGGCAAGCGUUGUCCGGAAUUAUUGGGCGUAAAGAGCGCGUAGGCGGUCCGAUAAGUCGGCUGUGAAAGUCAUGGGCUCAACCCAUGAAAGCCGGCCGAUACUGUCGGACUAGAGUUCGGAAGAGGCGAGUGGAAUUCCCGGUGUAGCGGUGAAAUGCGCAGAUAUCAGGAGGAACACCAAUGGCGAAGGCAGCUCGCUGGGACGUGACUGACGCUGAGACGCGAAAGCGUGGGGAGCAAACAGG
rnacentral:rRNA from 1 species